CCCUUAGAUGUCCUGGGCCGCACGCGCGUUACACUGAUGCAUUCAACGAGCUUAUAACCUUGGCCGAGAGGCCUGGGCAAUCUUGUUAACGUGCAUCGCGAUAGGGAUAGAUUAUUGAAAUUAUUAAUCUUGAACGAGGAAUUCCUAGUAAACGCAGAUCAUCAAUCUACAUUGAUUACGUCCCUGCCCUUUGUACACACCGCCCGUCGCACCUACCGAUUGGAUGGUCCGGUGAAGCCUCGGGAUUGUGGUUCUUGCCGCUUUAUUGUGGCGUGACCGCGAGAACUUGUCUAAACCUUAUCAUCUAGAGGAAGGUGAAGUCGUAACA
rnacentral:rRNA from 1 species